AUUGUUCAUGGACUUUUGAAUGAUGGCCGUUCUGACUGGUGUGAGGUGAUACCUCAUUGUAGUUUUGCUUUGCUUUUUUCAGGAUGUGGGCUUUCGAAGCCAGAAGAAGGAGAGGCUGGUACCUGGGGCCUGGGUGGAGUGCUGGAAGGGAGGUCAGUUUAGAAGUAGGAGUGUUUCCUGAAGGCACCCAGCCAGAAGGGCCACACCUUGGCUCUUCACAUAUUUCUGUACUCCAAGGGAGAGGCAGAGACACGGGAGGAGAGCAAGGGUAGAGUGGAGGUAUUUGGGCAGGGGGCUAAUGGCCCUGGGGCCCACUUAAGGGUCUGGCUGUACCAGGCUUAUGCUUAAGUUGUUGAGAUAGUGGAGCAUGAACCCAGGACUGUGGAAAAAGCCAAGGAAGGAGGCAGCUUGGUUGCUCAGCUCGGCCUGGGCCCCUCCUUAGGGAGGCCCUGGCUCUAGUUGUGUAAGUGCCCUGCCACUGGAGAGGAGUGGGGAAGAUGUAAGAUGUGCCAGAAUUGGUUAAUACCUGUUGGGCUCUGAGCCCGCCUUCCACUCCCCCACAGCUCCCCUGCUUAGGCCACAAAACCUCUCUGUUAGACAGCAGAUUAAUUUGAAAAUUGAGUUGCAGCUGGAUGAGUUGAUGUCAACUUCAAAGUUCAGUGGUGUUUAAUUAAAGCCAUCCAGAGACUAAACCUGCUCCUAGGAAAUUAUUCUGACCGAAUAAUUAAAGAGAAUAAAGGUUAGAUUUUUAUUUCUGGCUAAGUCUGUGUUGCAUUCAGCAUCUCCAAAACAUGAAUUCUAUUAAUCUUUCAUGAACCAACAUUAAAUUGCUUUCAGUUAGUUGUCAUUCUAAUUAAAGUAGAGUCGCACAGAAGAACCUUUGUUUGUCUGUUCUCCUUUCUCCUUUGAAGUUAUGUCCUUGAAGAAAUGGUCAUUUGGCAAAUUGAUUCAUAACUUGAUGUGUCUGCCCACCCCUCCCUUAGUUGGGUCCUGCUCACUGAGCAUCGGAAAGAAUUGCACCCGGAAAAGUAGGCCCGGCUGCGCAGGGUAAGUAAGCACUGCUGAUGCUUGGGUUGAGGUGUGUAAUUUGCAAAAACAUGACCUGUGGUCAUGGGAGUUAAAGUGAAGGACUAGUUAAGAUCGCCUGCCCAGCCCAGGCCAACUUGGGCAGGCCUUGAGGAAGGUCUUGGGGAGCUGAGGUCUCCCCAGGAGGGCCUUGUGGGUUGGGAGAGGGUGCCCUGCUGUUUGCCAUUCCACGACCUGACUCUCCCUGAGCCUUUGUGCUUUGGUGUGGGUGGCCUUGUUUCUGCCGAGUGAUGGGAUGGGAAGAGCGUGGUG